GUCUUAAUUGUCUGCCAGCAUCUGAUAGGUAGGAAGCAGGCCAAUCUGUAUGUAUAUACCACUGGGAUAUCUAGCCGAUUUGCAGACUUUUCUGCUAUCUGGUUAAUGAGUUAGCACACCCUAGACUCUGUUCUUUUAAAUCCUCAUUGGGCAAUCAUGCAUUCUUUCUGGCUUUGCAAAGGUAAGUAGAAGAAAUGACUGGGGGAAGGUAAUACUGAGGUUGAAGGGCACAGGAGGCAUGGGAAGAGAUGAAAGUAUUGCACUAGACAGUGGGGGAGAAUGUAGCUUAGGGUUGAUAUGUUGAAGGUUCCUGUGCACACCUGAGUUGGGAGCUCCUGCUGUGUAUGUUAGAUGAUGAAAUAAUGCACUGACAUGCUCUGACUGCUCAAAAUAGGACUCCCAGGGAAAAAUGCCAUCCAUGCUUACUCACUCUGCUAGGUAGCAUUGUCUGCACUUUUCUUUAAGCUCUUUCUACAGUUUUUCAAUAUUGAUGAUGCACAGGGACCUGGAAUCCUCUAAGAGAACCUGUACAUCAGGAAAAGGUGACUUUGCUGCAUCUGUAUAAAGGUGUUGCUGCAAAGAGCAAUUGUGAAGAAAGUUUUAGAGUUUCCCUCAGGCCUGGAGCCAAGAGUGGGCUUGUGGCUGAUUGUCAGACAUCUGUCAUCAGCAGAAGUUGCCAGUAGUGGAGCUGGGGGCUACAAAUGAGAGUGACAGAGGGGGGAAAAUGAAAGGAGAAAGCCUCCCCUGGGAAAAAAGGGAGUGAUCCCAUUAUAAAUGAGAGUCAUACAGCAUCCUUCUGGAGGCAUGUUGAAAUUUCCCAUGGGAGGAAGAAGAAUAAACAAAGGCAGAAUGGAAGGAAUACUUAACAGGCCUGGAUUUACUGGGAAGGCCAAAAUGCCUGUGUAUGUUUCCUGCCUUUCCCCAAGUGGUAUUUGCAAUUCAUGUUUCUCCAGUGGAGUGCCACAGUCUCUCUCCAGCUGCUCAAAUCUGCAUGCUAGGUUUGGGCAGCAGAGAGAAAACAAUAUGCAGUGCCCAGCAGCAGAUGGAAUCAUGAGAGAAUCUCCACUGUGAUUGACAUCAGGAAGGGAUCGGCUCCCAGGGACAGUGACUAUGGGUGACUCACUGUUAUACUUCCCUGCUGGACUGCAAAUGGGUACAAGUAAUAGAGGUCUGUGAGGGAAGAGACUUUCUGGCUAUGUGUUGCUUCUGACAAGUCACAGGAGUUUCAGAUUGUCAUGUGUAACAUUAUAGUAGGAUCUCUGAACUGGCAAACCCUACUGGAAACAGAAUACUUCCAGUGAAAUAAUUGCCUCAAUUGUAAGAAAAUGCUCUAGGAAUACAAUGUGACUGGAGAGAUUCAAUAUUUUAUUAAUAUUUUAUUCAAUAUUUUCUUUAAUAACAAUUAUAAUGUAAAGCAUGUAACUAUUUUUAAAAAGCUGUAUUAGAGUCCUAUUGAUUUCUUGUAAGUCAUGCACAAGAGCAGCAGUGUGUGAAAGAUCACAG
rnacentral:lncRNA from 1 species